rnacentral:rRNA from 1 species
CCCUACGGGGUGCAGCAAGGCAAGGUAUGCGAGCAAGGGAAGUUUGGCCUUGUUUAAAGGGAGACCAGGCAAAUGGUCUUGCUCAGCCUAUCUGUCGGAUGAAGGGAUGGCACGAGAAGCUGUGGAUCGGAUCAGGAAGGUGAGCAAUCUUGCUGAUCCGGUCAAGUGACAGAGAGCGGAACGAAGCGAGAUGGAUUUGCGGAGGGGGAUACAAUUGAGAGGACAGAUCAAGCUAUUUACAUUGCAUAUGAACCUGGAGAAAUCUGAUCAAUCGAGGCUCUCCAGGAUUAGAGACAGCAAGGGCAUCAAUCUCAAGCGGUAUUGCUCCUCUGGGGAAGAAUCAACCCUCCCAGCUUUCGAAUUGAUAUCCUGAUGGCAAUACUACUGGAAGGAUAAGCGGAGGAGAGC